UGGUUCCUUAGAUCGUACCCACAUUUACUUGGAUAACUGUGGUANUUCUAGAGCUAAUACAUGCAAACAGAGCUCCGACCGGAGACGGAAGGAGCGCUUUUAUUAGAUCAAAACCAAUCGGCGGCGGGCGUUCGCGCGCUCGUCGUCGUACCCGCUGGUGAAUCUGAAUAACUUUGCUGAUCGCACGGUCUCGCACCGGCGACGCAUCUUUCAAAUGUCUGCCUUAUCAACUGUCGAUGGUAGGUUCUGCGCCUACCAUGGUUGUAACGGGUAACGGGGAAUCAGGGUUCGAUUCCGGAGAGGGAGCCUGAGAAACGGCUACCACAUCCAAGGAAGGCAGCAGGCGCGCAAAUUACCCACUCCCGGCACGGGGAGGUAGUGACGAAAAAUAACGAUACGGGACUCAUCCGAGGCCCCGUAAUCGGAAUGAGUACAAUCUAAACCCUUUAACGAGGAUCAAUUGGAGGGCAAGUCUGGUGCCAGCAGCCGCGGUAAUUCCAGCUCCAAUAGCGUAUAUUAAAGUUGUUGCGGUUAAAAAGCUCGUAGUCGAAUCUGUGUCCCGCGCCGCCGGUUCAUCGCACGCGGUGUUUAACUGGCGUGUCCGCGGGACGUCCUGCCGGUGGGCUAAGCGUCGCGUCGUUCGCAAGGGCGUGCGCGGCGCGGCCCAACUCAAUCCCACCGCGGUGCUCUUCAUUGAGUGUCGAGGUGGGCCGGCACGUUUACUUUGAACAAAUUAGAGUGCUUAAAGCAGGCUAAAACUUCGCCUGAAUACCGUGUGCAUGGAAUAAUGGAAUAGGACCUCGGUUCUAUUUUGUUGGUUUUCGGAACCCCGAGGUAAUGAUUAAUAGGAACGGAUGGGGGCAUUCGUAUUGCGACGUUAGUGGUGAAAUUCUUGNNUCGCGCNAGNCGAACAGAAGCGAAAGCAUUUGCCAAAAACGUUUUCAUUGAUCAAGAACGAAAGUUAGAGGUUCGAAGGCGAUCAGAUACCGCCCUAGUUCUAACCAUAAACGAUGCCAGCUAGCGAUCCGCCGACGUUCCUUCGAUGACUCGGCGGGCAGCUUCCGGGAAACCAAAGCUUUUGGGUUCCGGGGGAAGUAUGGUUGCAAAGCUGAAACUUAAAGGAAUUGACGGAAGGGCACCACCAGGAGUGGAGCCUGCGGCUUAAUUUGACUCAACACGGGAAACCUCACCAGGCCCGGACACCGGAAGGAUUGACAGAUUGAGAGCUCUUUCUUGAUUCGGUGGGUGGUGGUGCAUGGCCGUUCUUAGUUGGUGGAGCGAUUUGUCUGGUUAAUUCCGAUAACGAACGAGACUCUAGCCUGCUAAAUAGGCGUAUUUCCGACAUCUCAAAGGCCCGCCGGCCCGGGGCGUUCGCGCGUCACGUGGUCGUGCGCGGUUUUUACUGUCGGCGUACACACAAUUCUUCUUAGAGGGACAGGCGGCUUCUAGCCGCACGAGAUUGAGCAAUAACAGGUCUGUGAUGCCCUUAGAUGUUCUGGGCCGCACGCGCGCUACACUGAAGGAAUCAGCGUGUCCUCCCUGGCCGAGAGGCCCGGGUAACCCGCUGAACCUCCUUCGUGCUAGGGAUUGGGGCUUGCAAUUGUUCCCCAUGAACGAGGAAUUCCCAGUAAGCGCGAGUCAUAAGCUCGCGUUGAUUACGUCCCUGCCCUUUGUACACACCGCC
rnacentral:rRNA from 1 species